GUCGAGCGGAUCAAUGGGGAGCUUGCUCCCCUGAGAUCAGCGGCGGACGGGUGAGUAACACGUGGGCAACCUGCCUGUAAGACUGGGAUAACUCCGGGAAACCGGGGCUAAUACCGGAUAAUACUGACCACCACAUGGUGGAAAGUUGAAAGAUGGCUUUUAGCUAUCACUUACAGAUGGGCCCGCGGCGCAUUAGCUAGUUGGUGAGGUAAGGGCUCACCAAGGCGACAAUGCGUAGCCAACCUGAAAGGGUGAUCGGCCACACUGGGACUGAAACACGGCCCAAACUCCUACGGGAGGCAGCAGUAGGGAAUCUUCGGCAAUGGGCGAAAGCCUGACCGAGCAACGCCGCGUGAGCGAUGAAGGCCUUCGGGUCGUAAAGCUCUGUUGUUAGGGAAAAACAAGUACCGUUCGAAUAGGGCGGUACCUUGACGGUACCUAACCAGAAAGCCACGGCUAACUACGUGCCAGCAGCCGCGGUAAUACGUAGGUGGCAAGCGUUGUCCGGAAUUAUUGGGCGUAAAGCGCGCGCAGGCGGUCUCUUAAGUCUGAUGUGAAAGCCCACGGCUCAACCGUGGAGGGCCAUUGGAAACUGGGGGACUUGAGUACUGGAGAGGAGAGUGGAAUUCCAUGUGUAGCGGUGAAAUGCGUAGAUAUAUGGAGGAACACCAGUGGC
rnacentral:rRNA from 2 species